GCCGGAUUAGCACAGCGGUAGUGCAGUGGUUUUGUAAACCAAAGGUCGGGGGUUCGAUCCCCUCAUCCGGCACCA
rnacentral:tRNA from 1 species